rnacentral:sRNA from 1 species
GCCGGGUGCAGUGGCACACACCUGUAAUCCCAGCAACUCGGGAGGCUGAGGCAGGAGGAUUGCGAGUUCAAAGCCAGCCUCAGCAACUGUGAGGCCCUAAGCAACUCAGUGAGACCCUGACUCUA